rnacentral:rRNA from 1 species
AACGAACGCUGGCGGCAUGCCUAACACAUGCAAGUCGAACGAGACCUUCGGGUCUAGUGGCGCACGGGUGCGUAACGCGUGGGGAUCUGCCCUUGGGUUCGGAAUAACAGUUAGAAAUGACUGCUAAUACCGGAUAAUGUCUUCGGACCAAAGAUUUAUCGCCCAGGGAUGAGCCCGCGUAGGAUUAGCUAGUUGGUGAGGUAAAGGCUCACCAAGGCGACGAUCCUUAGCUGGUCUGAGAGGAUGAUCAGCCACACUGGGACUGAGACACGGCCCAGACUCCUACGGGAGGCAGCAGUGGGGAAUAUUGGACAAUGGGCGAAAGCCUGAUCCAGCAAUGCCGCGUGAGUGAUGAAGGCCUAGGGUUGUAAAGCUCUUUUGCCCGGGAUGAUAAUGACAGUACCGGGAGAAUAAGACUCCGGCUAACUCCGUGCCAGCAACCGCGGUAAU